rnacentral:lncRNA from 1 species
GGUACUCAACUGUUUUUCCCGUUUGCCCCUGUCGCCGGCAAGGACGACAGGGGCGAGCAGUCUGCCUUCCAAGCACUCUCGCAGGAUCAAGGGGCCAAGCUCCCCGUAGCCUCGGCUCGGAUCGACUCGGGACAUCAGCUUCCUCAGCUGGGUCCGGGUCAUGCGCACCUUGACUCGGACGUGGGGCCUCGGCUGCGCCCGGGGUUGCACCUGCGCUUUCUUCCCCAGCCAGUUCCCCAUCUCCGUUAUGGAAUUGUCGUCAGUGCGAACGCGGAUGGAAGAAGACCAAGAUUCUGAUCUUGCACGCGCGAGGAAGGGGGCUUCUAGCAGAACGACUUCUUCUUCUCUUUGAUUUAACUUAUUAAACAGCAGGAUAUUUACAAUGGGCUUAAAGGAAACGACGAAAUCACGACGAUGGUCCUUGUACUCUUCGGCCGAAUAUCGUGAUUUUCAAUCUAGAUCUUACUCAGUUUCUGCCCCAUGACGGUUGUCGCGCCUCCUACCGUUGGAUUUGACCGUUCGAAAUGCCGUGUUGGCCGGCGGAUUUCUUGCGUGUUCGGCCUAUCUAGAGAGAGCACGCUUUACUUUCUUUACUUGCACACGUAGGGUUGAGGUGACUUCUGCGGUGCCAUGUGGGCAUAUCUGUGUCAGCAAUUUAAACGGCAAGAGAAACGACAGCAAACAGAGACUUUGCAAGGCACGCAGGAACCGCUUCACCUGCCCAGGACCUCCUCGCGAAGACGGCCGCAGGCGGAGGGCGACCACCGCGAGCGAGGGUCUGUGACUGCGAAGCAGCGGCAGCCGUGACGCGGUGGCUGCCGUGUCACCAGCGCCUCUCGGAUCCAAAGUCAACUGGGGACUAGGCAAAUCUCUGGGCCUACUUUGCGUCCGUGCAACACGCAAGUCGCUGUUCUUCAGUGGAAAAGCAUCGCCGGGACCCGAUCGCAAGAACGAAUCACAAGCAUGACUUUCCCCCUAUGAUUGGUUAUGAACUGACCUUGAAAGAAUGAUCCGGAGCCACGGAAAGGACUCCACCAGUGGGGGAAUCAUGAAGAAAUGGAACGGUAAACCAAGUGUGUUACUAGACAAUACUUUAUAUCGUGAUCUCUCGUCAACAUGUUUUUAUUAUAUUCAUCCAUAUGACAAGAACAUAUACUUUAAAAAAAAUGGAAGCCUGCACAAUUCACCCGUCACGCUCUUCUGAUUUUUCUUCCCUCUUAUCUUUCGAAUUUUGUUCUUUCCACACGCUCCUAUGACUUGGAAAGAUUUGCACGCUUUGAAGAUUUUUCAUUUAUUUCACAGAAAAUCAUUUUCAAAGAAACGUUUUUUGAAUUUUUCAAUGUUCGUUUCAUGGAAAAUGAAUUGAUUGAGGAAAAUAUUUUCCAUAAAGGGAAAAAUGUAUUCUAAGAUAGGGGAAAAUGAUUUCCACUUUUAGGAAGUUGAAAAUAUUUUCCACACCUUCUUUCACCUCACUUUCUUUUGUCAAAUACAUUUUCCUUUUAUUUUUUAAUUUUUAAAUCUAUUUUUUAAUGAUUUUUCUUUUCUUUCUUUUUUCUUUUUCAUUGGUUGAUCGCCAUCGGCCAGAGAAACCAACUUUGACAUAAGUGAUUGGAAGAUCUGAUUUUUUUUUUUUUUUUGAAGACCGGUCUGAUUGAAUUUGAAGUAAAAUUGAAUGAAAGAAAGAAAUUAAUCAUUGUCUUGUCAACUUUCUUAUUUUCUUUCAAUAAGACGAUUGGAUGGUGAAAAACAGGAAAGAAGAUAACCUCGAUUGGGCCUAAGUCAUCUUCCCUUAGUCUGAAUCUCAAUCAAAAAGGAGUUCAACUAACUUGGAAUACAAACCUAACCAGAUUGGAAUACUGGACACCUUAGCUUCUUCAAAAGCUAAGGAACAACUAUGGGCUUGGGACGAUAACUACCUCUAAGACGAAUGAAGAAAGAAGGGGGGGAUAAUUUCUUUGAACAUCUUUAUCCCCAAAUUCAUCAUCUGUAAGCAAUCCACUUCCGUAAUAGCAUUGGCUUUAACUUCUUUUUGGUUACCCUUUAACAGACUCAACCUAUUGCGGCUAAUAGAUAUAUGCUUGCUUCUUACUUACUUGCAACCUUCAUUUGAUCUCCAUCUUCAAGCUUUAUAGCAAGGAAAGAAAGUAGCAAAAGGGGUAUAGCGGGCAAUUCGAUCGAAGAAGAAAGAGAGAUUUUCUAAUAAAAAAAAUGAGCUCUCUAUAUGCUGUUAGCAAGAUUCGUUACUAAAUUCAACUAUUUCAAAAUUUCUACUUCAUUACCUUUCUUUGAGCUCCUACACAACAUAUUCUUCUCCCUAAGAAGAAUCAUUAAGAGAGAUGGAUUCUUUUUGAUACUAAAUUCAACUAUUUCAAAAUUUCUACUUCAUUACCUUUCUUUGAGCUCCUACACAACAUAUUCUUCUCCCUAAGAAGAAUCAUUAAGAGAGAUGGAUUCUUUUUGAUAAUUCAUAGCUGCAACCUAUCUUGUAUUAGCGAAAAGUUACCACCCUCGAUCACAAACUAAAAAAUUUAGAAGAGAACGUAUAGAGCGGAUUUUGGGCUAGGUUCAAGGUAACCAAGGAGCGAACCAAGGCUCUACUGCUAACCAGUCUUCUUUUCCGACUCCUUCCUUUGAAACUACUAGCUAUCUUAAUCUAAUUCAUGCGCCUACUUAACUAGUGAAGCAGCCCGCUAAGAAGAGAUCCUCCCCCCGCUCUCUACUAGUUUAUGAUGCCCCACGUACAGGAUCUACCGGCAGGGUGUGAACCUUGUCUUUUAGAUGUCUUCGGCAACUUCAUGCUCAUUAUAAAGUCCAUAUAACUUCUAACCAAAAGAUUCAUUAUUUAUGAAUCAAGUACCAGGUACAUUGCCUCUUUGAGUGAAGAAGAGAAGGCCCAUGCAUAAAAAGUCUUUAGCCAUGUUCGUCACCCUAGGCUCGCCCAUUAUUUUUCGAUAGAAUUGGAUAGAUGCGUGGGGAUGUUUUACUCUGAAGCUAUCUUCGGAUGAUGAUUGGAACUUCUGGGUGUCAUCUUUCAUCUUUGCCUUGUUUUCUUUUCCUCCCAUGCAUCAAUUCUCAAAGUCUAAUUUCAGCAGGUUUUCUUAAUAGAUUGAGUGAGUCCAUGAGUAAAGAAAGAGAUUCCAUUCUUCUUCAUCUACGAAUUGAGCUUCUCUCGAUCUGAAAGGUAAUAUUUUCAACUUCAUCAUAAGUAGGAUAGAAUGCUCAGCCAAGGAAGUUGGGAAUAAGGGAUAAAAAGAAUCUCUAUGUAGUAGAUAAGUUUGAAGGGGGCGUAAACUCCACUACUCGAAUCUAGUCUCGUAUAUAUUCUUGACGAGGAAGGGUCUCUAAGGCCGUUAAUUAGUGUGAGAAGGCGGCUUAGGUGACUUUGAAAAGACACUCUCUCCGGUAGUGGGUUGUAAUUAAUCUCAGCUUCCGUUGAGAUGAGAACAACUUUCACUCUCUUGCUUUCCAGCGCCCCUCACUUGCAAGUAGAGGCUCUCGCUCCACUUUUCAUAAAAUAGAGAAUGGUUUCCUAAAACGAGAAGGAGAGAGGGGAGGGUAAAGGAGUUUACUAAGAGGUGGAGGUCAGGGAUUUUGAACUUACUUGUUUUAGUAAGCUACUUUUCUUUUGUGGGGGCGUUAGAGGUUGUUGCCACAUGGCUAAGUUGAAAGGGCUUAAGUUUGACGCAAGGCUUUUUUGUUGUUAAGUUAUAGGAGUAUUAAGCAACAUCCAACAGUUUCAAUCCUUCUGGUUUGCCCUAAAUAAAGUGCCUUAAGUAGCCCUCGAGGAGUCUAUUUAUUCUCUCCGUUUGAGCUAUCAUUCAUGGGCUCUUUGUUAAGUUCCAUGUCGCUCGAAAAUGCAAGGAAAAGCCCCUCAUGGGUCAACCAACCUGUGACUAUGAAAAAAGGGUACUCGCCUAGUCUUUGCUAACUAGAUAUUUUGGUUCCCGGCAACCCUGGCCGACCCUCCCCCCACCAUCGCCGGCCCUUCCCAACGGCGACGGGGUAGCGGCGGCGGCGACUGAGGGCUGAUCCCUCAGCCGCCACCCCCCCCCCCCCCCCAAUUGCCCUUUUUUUAUUUUAAUUUUUUAAAAGUUUUUAAAAAAAUUUAAAACUUUUUUAAAAUUUUUAAUUAUUUUUUUUAAAUAUUUUGACUAAAUUUAAUUUUAAAAUUAUUAUUUUUUAAUAUUUUAACUAAAUUAAAAUUAAAAUUAAAAUUAAUUAAUGUUUUAUUUAUUUUUUUCCACGUCAGCCCAAAACGACGCCGUUUGCCGACCACUCCAUAAGCCACUAGUGGCUGAGAGAAAGCGAGCAGCACCUUGUAUAGGUUGGGCGGAGCUUGAAGAAGCGAGUCCCUUUCAGAGAAAGCCAUUGCGCGCUAGCCUAGCUAGCUAACUUCAGCUGGCUGUUAUCUUAGUUGUAGCGCGCCUUCCCUCCUUCUCUCACUUCGGAAAGAUUUAGCAGUAUUUUUCUUAUGAUGACCGGGUCGAGAGAGUACGAUACAUCGGUGAGAGAAAUGUCUUUCCACUAGAAUAGAACAAGUCCGCUGCGAAAUGAAAUGAAGUUUUUUUUUUCAAAAUCGGGAAAAGUUAUUUAUUUUUUAUUUAGACUAAUAAAAUAUUAUGAAAGCUUAAGAAGGCUUCAACGUGCAAAAUGGCGUCGUUUUGGGCGCGCUUCGCCGGAAAAAUGCCACGUCGGCAUUUUGGUCAGAUUUUGGCUGGAUUGGCACUCAAGUGAUCCAUUUUACUCCAAUUUUGGCACUUAAGUGUACCUUUCGUAAGUUAUGGCACUUAAGUGUCCCUUUGGCCAAAGUUGUGGCACUUGAGGGGUCCGCAUGUCCUAAUUGCGUAAUGUUAACUUGAGGUAGCGAAUGAGACAACGCAUGGAUGGAAAUUCUCCACUUUAUGGCUGUCGCUUUCUAGCUCCAACACUCUGAAUAUCGGGUAUGAUUGGUGAGCUUUGCCGGAAGGAAGCUACUCAACCAAUUUCGGAGGCUACUAUCGGCGAAGCUUCUUUGCUUUGGAGCGUGCUAAGGGAAAUUGGCUUCUACCACUAUUCUUCUUCUCCCCGAGGGUUGCUUGCCUCUCCAUUAGCUAAACCCUGUCUUACCCUCCCCUUUGACUUAUAUUUUGUUUUUAUAAAGCAAACUUUCUUCAACCAAAAGGAAAGAAAUCUCCAAGCAAGAAGGAGAGAGUUAAGAUAUCAAAGAGCCUCAGUCUAGUCACUCAACUAAUCCACUUGCAAAGUGCUAGUGGUAUAUAGUAGUGUGGUAGUUGAGACUCUGUCCCUUCUUCUUCAAUAAAGACACCCUCGUUGGAAUGGGUCACCAAUAGAAACGUUGGUUCAAAUGUUGAAAAUCUAACAUCGGGAUGAACUUUAGGCUUACCUGCUCUGGGCAAACAAACUUGCCAUUCAUUCAACAUUGCUACAUUAAACAUUCUCUUUUCCUCUCUGAAUCAAUAAAAAAAAAAAGAAUUCCUUUGCGGCUUACUACUUACCUAUCUUUCUCCAAAACCCUCUCCUUGGCUCCCACAAUUGUCGUAGAAAGAACAAGAGCAUCUAUACCAUCUCCUACAAAUUCCGAAAGAGGAUUACCAGCUACAAGUGAGCUGGAGCCUCACCACAGUCUGGGGAGGCUCCACCUCACCUAAUCAGGCAAGGCUGAGUUCACCCAACACUGGCGAGCUCGAGUCCCGCCAAAUCUAGCCACCUAGGCAAGGCUCGAGCUCACUCAAUCGACCUCAAGCAAGCUCGAGCCUCGCCAAACCAGGCGACUUGGGUAGGGCUUGAGCUUGCUGACAUUGGAUGAGGUCAACCUUGUCUAAUCUGGUAAGGCUUUAGCUCAUUUAUGAUCGAUCACCAGCCAUUAGCCGCCAAUGAAAAAGGAAAUGAAAAAGAAAGAAAAAUAAUUAAAAAAUCAAAUAAAAUUAUAAUAAUAAAAGAAUUAUUGAGAUUGGUGCAUGAAGGAAAAGAUUUCCUUAUCGAACAGCAAAAUAUAUUUUCUAAUUCAUUUUUAGAUUUUAGUUAAACAUUAGAAAAUAUGUUGAUUUUCUUAAAAAAUGAUUUCUUGAAAUGCUAUAUUUUCCGUCAAAUAAGUGGAGCUUAAAGUUAGAAAACUUGCAUGUGCAUUGGGGUAUGCAUUUUGUAUGUGCACGACCCCAAGAUCAGGUCUCUAUUUCCUUUUUUGGGUCAAAUGUUGCAAAUUCAAGCCCCACGCGCUCACUUCUCCCUUCUAUCUUUUCUACGCAAUAUCAAAAGGCAAUGCAUGCAUCCAAGGGAGGCUACGACAUAUAAAAAGGCGGUCUUGGCAACUCUAUUAGCAGCGGCAAUUUCAAAAGUUAAUCACCAUUCUUCUCUUCUUUUUUGUUUGUAUUCCCUUGAGUGUCCAUAAUGGGUAGAAUCCUCAAAAUGUAAAUCACGACACAAACACGGUCUCAUCUACAGUGGCAGAAAAACAGCCCAAGUGCCAUAACUUGGCACGGAGGGACACUUAAGUGCCAUAACUUCAAAAUGAUACACUUGAGUGCCAGUUUCGAAGUUAAAUGGAACACUUAAGUGCCACUCUAGCGAAAAUCCAGCCAAAUGGCUAACGUGGCAACUUUCCGGCGAGUUUGGUCCAAAACGGCGUCGUUUUGCACGCUGACGUGGUAGAGAGAAUGCAAAAACGACGCCGUUUCGUGUAAAUAAUAAUAUAAAAAUUAAUUAAAUUAGAUUUAAACUUAAUUUUAUUUAAAAAAUUUAAAAAUUAAAAAAAUUAAAAAUUAAGAAAAUUUUUAAAAAAGGGGGAGGUCGAAUGGGGCAGUUGAGGGCUGAGCCCUCGCCGCCGCCACCUCCCACCCGUGCCGGGGAAGGGGGGGAGGACAAGGGAGGGAGGGUGGGUGCACGCGCGNNNNNNNNNNNNNNNNNNNNNNNNNNNNNNNNNNNNNNNNNNNNNNNNNNNNNNNNNNNNNNNNNNNNNNNNNNNNNNNNNNNNNNNNNNNNNNNNNNNNGAAUAUUUAAAUAAACUAAGAUAAAUGUAAUUUAAAUCACUUUAUAUUAUCAUUACAAGUAGACACGAAACGGCGUCGUUUUUGCAUUUUUUCCGCCACGUCAACAUGCAAAACGACGCCGUUUUGGACCAAACUCAUUGGAAAAUUGCCAUAUCAGCCAUUUGGCCGGAUUUUUGCCGGAGUGGCACUUAAGUGUUCCAUUUUACUCCGAUAUUGGCACUUAAGUGUACCAUUUCAAAGUUAUGACACUUAAGUGUCCCCCCGUGCCAAGUUAUGGCACUCCAGGUGUCCCAACCUCCAUCUACAGUCUAGCUUCCGAAUCGAGCUCACUCGGUUCAUGGGGUCACUCACCCCUGGCCAUAGGUGACCAAGAGGUGCUUUUCGAUGAGUAGGUCGCUUGUUGAAGCUGUAUGUUUAAUUUAAACAAGACAGCUCAAAACCCAUUGAUUUGACAUUACUUAUAUAAGAUGAAGAAGAAGAUAUAAUGCAGCUGAAGCCAAAUUAGAAAUUUCAGGGGCUUGAAAACCGCUAAUCUUGCACGAUCAGUCUCAUUAGCAUUGUCUUCAAGAUCUCUCUCUCGAUUCCACGAAAGAAUAUCAAUACCAUCUUUGAAAAUCUAUACCUCAAACGGUUUGCUUGACCACUUUUUCGAAAAAAUUGAUCCUGAGUUUUCUAUUGGCGGAAGAUCUAGCACAGUUGACUUCAAACAAUUCACGGCGACUCCUAGCCCAAAUCAUUUUAAGUUUUCAUUUCAGCCUGCUUCAAUGGAGAACCAAACAAUUCAUUAUGAAAACCCAUAUCUGCUACGUUGAUGAACUAAAUGGCAAAUUAUCAACGCUUAAAAGGCAGGAACGAACCAUUAAGGCUAUUAGUAGAAGAUGCCCACUUAGAAGUUUGCAACACGGAGCAGCCUGCGAUCCUAAAUCCAAUGUGCAAUACUAAAAGGUUCGUAUUUCAGAACUGGGAGUUGUAUCGAGACUUCGUAUUGAUUGCGAGACAAGCACUGACAGGGAUCUGGUUUGCAAUAACAUGCAGAUGAAUAAGAAAGUAGGCUAACAUUUUCAUUUCAACUCUUUUGAGCAAAAAAAAAAAAACUUUUCAAUUCAAGUACAAAACAAACCGAAGUAACCAGCAGUUUGAUCAUUCUCACUUCAAAUGUUAAUCAUCAAUGCUAUGUUUCCCACGUGAAGAAAUCAAGAACAAAUUGACAAACCUAGCUGGAAAUUUUGGUAAGGUACAUGAGUUUUUUGAGCUUAUGAGAAAGAACCAGAGAGAGAGAGAAAGAGAGAAGCUCAAAGGUGCUUGAUGAGAAGAAAUGGAAGAUAGAAUAUAACCUGUGUAUGAAAGAAUUGUAGAUCCUGAACAAUCAAUUGAAAUACCUCAGCUCUGAUAUUCUUUUUCAAAACUUCUGGUUCAUCUUUUACAUAACUUCAACUAUUAUCGAAUACAGAAGUAGAAGAGAGAGAUCUAAAGAUGAAUGGAGGAAAAUCAGAAGUAGAAACAAUGAACUAACACACUUAACUCUUCUCUCCUUCACUCGCCCUUUUAUGCUCAACACUUGUUUAACAACUUCUGUUAUAGAACUAUUAUAACAGAAUAACUAAUAUGAGAAACACGUGCAUUUCCUCUGGUUGUGCAGCUCCUUCAGUUAGCUUGAUCAGCUUCUGUGUUUCAGGUUUUGAUGUCAUGGAUUGCCAGCUCAUCAAUUCAGCUCAAGAUCGCCAGCUCAUCUUACUUUGAGCUUCGUUUAGAAGUUUGCGACCUUCCUCUGCUUCAGCUUCCUCUGCCUCAGUAACUUCCUCUUGACUUGCCUUAGUAACUUCCUCAGGUUCAGCUUUUCUACUAUCACCAGCUUCUUCAUUCAUCUGUACUUUUACUGUCUGUUUUAUUUCUUUAACAUCCCCCCUCAAAUUGGGAAUGGAUAGAGCACAGAUUCCCAAUUUGAUUCGCAUAUAAGAAUGUGCUCUCCUUGACAGUGGUUUUGUAAAAAUAUCAGCUAAUUUGCAAUAACUUGGAAUGUAUUUGACAUGUAAUGAUCCUGAGGAUACCUUUUCUCGAAUGAAGUGGAAGUCCACUUCAAUAUGUUUGGUUAGAGCGUGUAAGACAGGAUUCAGAGUAAAAGAGAUUGCUUAUUUAUUGUCACAGUACAGAUGAAUAGGAGGAGUAAGAGAACAACCUAUAUCUCGUAAUACAAAACUGAUCUAAGUGAGAUCAGCAGUGGUUGAUGCAAGAGCACGGUAUUCAGCUUCAGUGGAGGAUCUGCUCACUGUGGGCUGUUUCUUUGCUGCCCAGGAUAUAAGAUUGGAUCCAAGAUAUGUGCAAAAACCAGUUGUUGAUCUUCUGGUUUCUGCACACCCUGCCCAGUCUGCAUCUGAGUAACCAUAGAGAUGCAUGGUACUUUGAGAAUGAACGAAUAAGCCAAGCUUUAUAGUACCUUUUAUAUAUCGCAAGACCCUUUUUAAUCUGUUGAAGUCUGCAAUUGUGGGUUGCUGCAUUUUCUGGCAGAGUAUAUUUGUGGCAUAAGCAAUGUCUGGUCUAGUUAAUGUGAGGUCUUGCAGACCUCCAACUAGGCUUCUGUACUUAGUAGGAUUGUUCAAAGGUAUAGAAUCAUUGAUCAAAAUAGGUGGUUUUAAUGAAAGAGGAGUUGAAAUUGGUUUGGAUUCUAGCAUAUGAGCUCGAGUGAGGAGGUCUAAGGCAUAUUUAGUUUGGCAAAGAAAUAGAUAAUCAGUGGUUCGUUUAGCUUCAAUGCCAAGGAAAUAGUGUAAGGAGCCUAGAUCCUUCAUAUGAAAAUGAAUACUCAGAGAAGUAAUGAGACUAGAAAGCAUUUGAGAGGAGCUUCCAGUUAGAAUGAUAUCAUCUACAUACAGUAAUAAGAGAAUAGUUUCUGUUUCAGUAUGCAGGAUGAAUAGGGAAGGAUUAGUGGAGCUGCAAAAAAAUCCAUAUUCUAGCAGAAAGCUGCUAAAUCUAUCAAACCAAGCUCGAGGAGCUUGUCGAAGUCCAUAAAGUGACUUUCGAAGAAGACAAACAUGGUGAGGCUUUUGUGAUUCUUUAAACCCUGGAGGCUGCUCCAUAUACACUGUUUCACUUAAGGUUCCCUGUAAGAAGGCAUUUUUGACAUCUAAUUGAUGAAUUUUCCACUGUUUCAUCAUAGCUAUUAAUAAGAGUAUUUGAAUUGUUGCAUGCUUCACUACAGGGCUAAAGGUUUCUGUGAAAUCAAGACCUUCUUCUUGAUGGAAGCCUUUAGUUACAAGUCUGGCUUUGAGUUUAUCUAAGCUCCCAUCAGGUGCAAGUUUUGUCUUAAACACCCAUUUGCAACCAAUUACAUUCAUGUGAUCAUUUCUAGGAAUCAAUUCCCAGGUUUUGUUUUGAUAUAAGGCAUCCAUUUCUUCUUUCAUUGCUUGGUGCCAUCCUCUGUCUGCUAAGGCAGACUUUACUGAUUUUGGUUCAACAGGAAGCUGAUACUCAACUAGACAUGCAUAUUUAGGAUUUGCUUUAACAAUUCCAGAUCAAAGUCUAGUCUGCAUAGGAUGAGUUGAAGAAGUACCUUGUAUAUUUCCUGUUUCAUAACUAAUUUGUAUUUGUCCUGUAUUAGCAUUUGAUGUUAAAACGGGCUCUUGAUUUGUAGGCAUUUGUUCCUCAAUGCUUGGAGAUCUCUGAUGAGAUUCAAUAUCACUAGGAGCAUUAUUAACAUCAAUCUGCAUCUCAGCAUCAGGUACUAUAUGCAUAUGUGAUAUAUCUGUAGGAUUAACUAUACUGAUCUCAUUGUCCUGCAUUUCUGGAGUUAUUUGAGUUAAUCUAGUAUGCUGCAAAUAUCCCAUCGAUAUAUUGUUUUGUGAUUGAGCCUGCUUAGUAGAGUUGGAAAUAGAAGAUAAUACUCCUCUUAUCCACUGUUUGUAUAGUUCAGAUCCCUGCUAAUACUCGGUAUUUACUAUAUGAGUAAAAGGGAAGACUUUCUCAUCAAAUAUUACAUGUCUACUGAUGUAGACUCUCCCAUUAGUAGGCAAGAGACACAUGUAUCCUUUAUGCUUCUCACUAUAUCCAAGAAAGAUACAUGUAAGAGAUCUUGGAUCAAAUUUAUGCUGUGUGUAGUGCCUGAGACAUGGAUAACAGGCUGAUCCAAAAACUCGAAGAUGAGAAUAAUCUGAUGUCUUAUUGUAGAGCUUAUAAUGGGGUGAAUGCAUAUGCAGUUUUGUUAUAGGAAGGAGACUGAUAACAUAAACUACUGUUUUGAAUGCAUCUACCCAAUAUCUCAGUGGUACUUUAGCAUGAUACAUCAUUGCUAGUCCCAAUUCAAUCACAUGUCAAUGUUUCCUCUCAGAGACACCAUUUUGCUCUGGUGUAUGAGGACAAGAGAUAUUCUGCUUAAUUCCACACUUUUGUAGAUAGUUCUGAAAUUUAUUACUAGUGAACUCUCCUCCUCCAUCACUCUGGAAGACUUUGAUCUUGUGAUCAAGCUGAUUUUCUAUAAAUCUUUGAAACAUAAUAAACACAUCAUAAACUUCUGACUUUUGUCUCAUUGGAUAUAUAUCCAGCUAUAUCGAGAAAAAUCAUCCAAAAAAAUGACAUAGUAGGAGAAUUUCUGAACAGAUUGAAUUGGCGAUGGUCCCCAUACAUCGCAAUGUAUUCUUUCUAAUGGAACAUUAGAAAUAUGGUCUGAGAAAGAAAAAGAUAGUGCUGAACUCUUAGCAACUUGACAGCUGCUACAUAUAUUCUGAGCUUUAGAACUAUACUGAAUGAGAUGUUGUUUCUGUAAAAUCUUCACUGUUUUCAGAUUGGUGUGAGCAAGUCUUUGAUGCCAGACAUCUUCUCCUACUUCCUGUUGAGUCUAGGUGAAGAAGACUGCUGCAACUUUAGGUUCCACCUGGUAUAGCCCCUUGACCUUCCUUCCUAGCUUCACUGUUGUAUGAUUGUAAUUGUCCUUCAUAUAUACCCCAUGUUUAUAAAAAAUAAAAGAGCAGGGAUAAUCAUUUGUUAGUUUUGAUACAGAUAGAAGAUUCUUUUUGAUUGCAGGAACCAUUAAUAUAUCAUUCAGUGGUAAUUUGCUAUUUUCUGUAUUCAAUAUUCCAUUACCAAUGCAUGAGAUUGACAAAUGAGAUCCAUCUCCUAUCAUGACAAUGUCAUUACCAUUAUAUGCAUUGUAGUUUCGAAUCAUACCAGGUUCUAAGGUAAUAUGUGAAGUAGCCCCUGUAUCUAGAUACCAUUCUGAACCAUAGGGUUCUUCAAUGUGCACAGCUGCUAAUGCAGUUGGUAUUUCAUCUGCCUGGUAUGAGUUAUCAAAUCUAUACCAACAUCUGAGUGCUGUAUGACCUGAUUUCUUACAGAUCUGGCAUUGCAGAGGGCCAUUACUUAUAGGCUUUGUAAUAUGUGUUUGUCUAUCACCAUUUGAACUUUGUGGUGGAUAAGACCUAACACUUUGAUACCUCUGUGAAGGGUUUGAAUAUGGUCUAAAUCCUUGUCCAUAGUUAGGCCAGUUAUCCUUAUUAACCUGACCUUACUGAGUUGAAUUCAGGUUAUUCAUUCUAUUUUGUUGAUUCCUUCCUGCUUCUGUAAAAUUAUUUCCAUAUUCCCUUCUAUUGAGAGAUUGACCUCUGUCAUAGCUAAAUUCCCCCCGAAUAUUUUCUCUUUGAUUUCUGGGAUUGACUUUCUGCAGACUUGUUCCAGUUCUUCUUUGCCCAUAAUAGGCCAAGUUAGUAUGGUACUCGUUCACAGAAUAUGUUUGCAAUCUAGUUUCAAAUCUCUCAAGUUGUGAGAUAACCUCAUCAUACUCUGGCUGGGGUUUAAGGCAAUACAUGGUUGUCCUGAAGGUUUCAUAUUCAGAACCUAACCCUUCAAGUAUGCCAAACAUUCUGGUUAUAUCAUCAACAGGCUUUCCAAUUGCAUUUAAUUGAUAACAUAUGGUUUUGAAUUCUCGAAGGUAUUCACUUAAUGAUCUGUUUCUUUUCCUGCAAGCCUGUAAUUUUCCUCUUAACUCAAAUUCCUUUGCAACAGACUUCUGUGUAAAUCUAUUUAUGAGAGCUUGCCAUACUUCGAAUGAGGUUUCUAAGCCAAUUAUUAGACUUAGAAUAUUUUCUGAUACCGCACCACUUAUCCAGGAUGAUAUAAGCUUAUCAGUUUUUAUCCAAUCCAGGUGAUCAAGAUUCAUCACUUCUCCUGCCUCAGUCUGUAUCAUUUGAGUAGGAGGUAAUGUUUCACCAUUAAUAAAACCAAUCAGAUCUUGGCUUUUCAGAAAUCUGUUGAAUUGGGCUUGCCAUAACAGGAAGUUUUCUUCAUUCAACUUGAUGGUGACGAAGUUAGCUAUAUUCACAUGGAUAGGAAAAUGGUACUUCUGCACUCUAGUUGCCAUUCUUAUAUGUUCAGAAACUUUGAAGAUUCGAAGAAACAAUCCAGUAAACUUUGAAGGUAAGCUAACUAAGAAACAACAAGAUCUUUAUAAUAUCUUGCAAUAAGAACACAUCAGAUCUAUCAUUCCCAGGAUUGUGCUCUGAUACCAUGAGAAGAAAUGGAAGAUAGAACAUAACCUGUGUAUGAAAGAAUUGUAGAUCCUGAACAAUCAAUUGAAAUACCUCAGCUCUGAUAUUCUUCUUCAAAACUUCUGGUUCAUCUUUUACAUGACUUCAACUAUUAUCGAAUACAGAAGUAGAAGAGAGAGAUCUAAAGAUGAAUGGAGGAAAAUCAGAAGUAGAAACAAUGAACUAACACACUUAACUCUUCUCUCCUUCACUUGCCCUUUUAUACUCAACUCUUGUUUAACAACUUCUGUUAUAGAACUAUUAUAAUAGAAUAACUAAUAUGAGAAACACGUGCAUUUCCUCUGGUUGUGCAGCUCCUUCAAUUAGCUUGAUCAGCUUAUGUGUUUCAUGUUUUGAUGUCAUGGAUCACCAGCUCAUCAAUUCAGCUCAAGAUCGCCAGCUCAUCUUACUUUGAGCUUCGUUUAGAAGUUUGCGACCUUCCUCUGCUUCAACUUCCGACCUUCCUCAGUAACUUCCUCUUGACUUGCCUUAGUAACUUCCUUAGGUUCAGCUUUUCUACUAUCACUAGCUUCUUCAUUCAUCUGUACUUUUACUAUCUGUUUUAUUUCUUUAACACUUGAAACCUACAUAAACAAAUUGAAAUCUCAAACUACACAUCGAAACAGAAACAAGAACUCCAACCAUGGGUACCAAAUUGAUAGCAAACUUGUCACAAAAGUGCAAUUAAAACUUAUUAGCAUUUUUCGUUUAUUAAGUUAGAUGGAGUUAGUGAAAUAACUUGUUUGCACCUACUUGACAAGUUUUAAUAUUUGAUUACACUAUCUGAAAGUUUUACAACUCAAUUACAUUUUCAUCCCAAGUUUCAUAAUUUAAUUACACUUUUUAAAAAUUUUAAAACUCAAUUGCACAUUAGUCUUUCAUAAUAAGUUUUAAGAUUUCCAGCACACUAUCGAAAUAUAUUGCAAAAAGCCGACCAGGCCUAAGCGGGCUUGGCGGGGCCAAGUUGGGCAGAGUGCACGUAAGAAGGGAAUGUCCUGCCUCGGCCCACCAGCUUCUCCGUUCCGGCCAAUCGGGCGUGGGUGUCCAGCGUGCCUCCAGGCUCCAAGCCCAUGCUCACCUCUCAUUUUCACCUCAGGAAUGUUCUUUAGCCUGCUUCGCUUCCUUUUGUCUUCCUUUUUUAGAUGUUCUAUUUCUUAGAAUAAUCAAACUUUCUCAUGUCCAUCAAACUAAAAGAGCAAGUUUCUAGCAUACUUUGCAUCUAAUUUUCAGUUUAGCAAUUGAAUGGAUUGAAAUUGUUAUUCUCGAGCCUUUUCAAUCAAAAGCCAUCAUGACUUCGAAAGAUAAUAUCGCAAUCCCUAUAAGCUUUCUCCAUGGAGCACCCUUCACCAUGCAUCCGCAAAACGGAAGACCGAUGAUCAUGCAAAGUUUGAAAUCUUUGAUGAGCUCAAAAUCGUAUCGCACGAGUCUAAAUAGGACUCGGAGUGUGUGAAAGCGGAUAAAAGGGUCCUAAGAACUCGAAUAUUAAGGUUCGAAAAGGCGCUCAUGGCGAUUCAAUCUGUGUAGACAAAACAAGUGCUCUUUCAUCCACAGACAUGCUCUAGCGUUGAUAAUUGAAUGAAAGAUAUCAGGGUCUAGUCCAUCAAAGAAUCAAUACGCAGCAUCCACCAUCCUUUACACAGCGAAAAACAUUUGAGCUACAAGCACAGCUACUACGAAUCAUAAAGACGGGAAAAAAAAGUCCUAGAUGCUCUCUACAAAGUAUCUCUUCGUAUGUACUUCACCUUCUCUUUUUAUUCAACAUCGCCGGAUUCUCGACUUUCAAGUUUCUUCGAAGAUGGUACAUAGCUGCUGUUUGCAUUCACUGCCGGGGAUGAUGACAGGGGCGAGAAGUCUGCCUUCCAAGCACUCUAGCAGGAUCAAGGGGCUGAGCUCUGUGCUGAUAUUGUCUUGAAUUCCACAAAUUCAAUCGGGAAAUCUAGGAAGACUUGAAGAUUGCAAGCUAUUUGUUUCCUAAUAUAUUUCCUAGAUUUUGGUUUUAAAUUUGAUAGUAUCUUUAUGGUGGAAUUCCUUUCCUACUAGGUUUAGGAAAGUGGGGAUCUAAAGAUCUAUUUAUUUCAGCAAUGUACCUUGUACUCUUGACAUACGCUCAAAUAAGAAAUCGUCUCUCUCUCUCCCGUGGACAUAGGCGGAUCGUUCGCCGAACCACGUAAAUCUCUGUGUUCUUGAUUAUUCUUGUUUUUCUUUCUCAUCUAGUUAGGGUGUUCUUCCGCACAAGAAUUGGUAUCAGAGCAAUCCAGGUUCUCUGUUCCUGUAUUGCGACUUCUAACUAGAUGGCUAGAAAAGGUUCAACCGUUCGAUUUGAUAUUGAACGAUUCACCGGGAAGAAUAGUUUUACACUAUGGCGGAGAAGGAUGAAGGAUCUGUUGAUUCAACAAGGUUUAUCAAAGGUUCUUCUGGGAAGAUCAAACAAGCCGAACACCAUCACUGAUGAUGAUUGGGCUGACAUGGAGGAGAGGGCAUGCAGCGCAAUCCGAUUGAACCUAUCGGAUGAGGCCCUUCAAUAUGUAGCGGAAAUCGAAUUUGCUCCGGAGGUAUGGCUCAAACUCGAAAGCAUUUAUAUGACGAAAUCUCUUACGAACAAGUUGUUCUUGAAGAAGAGAUUGUAUUCACUUCAGAUGAGUGAAGGAGGAGAUCUGUUGGAACACCUUAACGUGUUCAAUAAGAUGAUUAGUGAACUUACAAGCUUGGAGGUAAAGUUUGAGGAUGAAGACAUAGUGCUUCUACUACUGGCAUCGUUGCCGGAUUCGUUUGACCACUUGGUGACUACGCUCCUUUAUGGCAAGGAAACCCUAGAGAUCGGAGAGGUGACUGCUGCCCUAAUUUCAAACGACACUCGGAAAAGGGCAAGUAGUUCAAAAUCUUUGAGAGAGGGACUCUUUGCAAAGGAGAAAAACAAUCAAGGAAGAGGAAGAUCAACGGAUCGAGGAUCGAGCGGUAGGGGUCGAUCAAAAUCCAAGGGAAGGUUCAAAGGAAGAUGCUACGGGUGUAAUCAGGAAGGGCAUACCAAGAGAUUCUGUCCAAAUAAGAACGAGAAAAAGAAGAAGAGCUCAGAUGAGGCAAGUAUAGCCGACAGCAUUGAGACCAAUGAUGGGGACGUCUUGUCCAUAUCAUCGGGGAAGGACACCUUUGAAGAUUCGUGGAUCAUGGACUCCGGAUGCACUUUUCACAUGUGUCCUCAUCGAGAAGCCUUCGAUGAAUACAAGGCAUAUGAUGGUGGUUCAAUUCUCAUGGGUAAUGAUACUUCGUGCAAGACUGUGGGUGUUGGAACCGUGAAAAUCAAGAUGUUUGAUGGCAUGAUUAGAACCUUGGCAGAUGUACGUCAUGUUCCAGGUCUAAGGAAGAAUUUGAUCUCAUUGGGAGCACUUGAAUCCAAUGGAUGCAAGUACAUGGCUCAAGGUGGAGUCUUGAAGGUGAUUAAGGGAGCUCUAGUUGUUCUUAAGGGACAGAGGCACGGGAACCUAUAUCGACUUAUAGGAACCACAGUGCAAGGUGGAGCAUCUGUGUCCACGAAUGCUAGCAUGGAGAUAGAUAACACUUAUCUAUGGCAUAUGCGUCUCGGGCAUAUGGGAGAAAGAGGAUUGAUAGAGCUUCACAAGAGGAAUGCACUCAAAGGUAUAAAAACAUGCAAAUUAGAUUUCUGCAAAUUUUGUGUGUUUGGAAAACAAUGCAGAGUUCGGUUCAAUGCUGCAACUCAUACAAGCAAGGGCGUGCUCGAAUAUGUACACACGGAUGUAUGGGGUCCUUCACCGGUAAAGUCAAAAGGAGGGAAGGAAUACUUUGUGACAUUCAUUGACGAUUUCUCUCGCAAAGUUUGGGUCUACUUCAUGCGACACAAAAGUGAAGUCUUUGAAAAGUUCAAAGAAUGGAAAGCUAAAGUUGAGACUUCAAUGGGGAAGAAGGUUAAGUGCUUGAGAUCGGACAAUGGAGGAAAGUACAAAUCGACACCUUUCACUUCACAGUUCCGGAUACUCCCCAACAGAAUGGUGUAGCGGAAAGGAUGAACCGGACCUUAUUAGAGAGAGCUCGAAGCAUGAGGCUACAUGCGGGACUGAGCAAGGAGUUUUGGGCAGAAGCUAUCUGCAUGGCAUGUUAACUUGUGAAUCGGUCUCCAUCAACUGCAAUUAAAUGCAAAAUUCCUGAAGAUGUAUGGAUUGGUAAAAUUGUCGAUUAUUCUAAUUUAAGAAUAUUCGGUUGUCCUGCUUUUGUACAUGUGCAGAGCUCGAAACGCUCGAAGUUGGAUUCAAAAUCAAAACAAUGCAUAUUUCUCGGUUAUGAGAAAGGAGUGAAAGGCUACAAAUGAUGGGAUCCAAGUGAGAAGAAAGUUCUGAUGAGUAAGGAUGUUAUAUUCGAUGAAUCUGCAAUGUUGAAGUCAAGUUGCGUGCCACGCGCGGCUGCUGAAGAGGAGAGUGAUAAAUCUAUCGUUAAGGUGGAGCUUGAAACCAGAGAAUCUACAGAGAAUGGCGAGUCAUCCGAUGAAGCUUCGGAAGUCAAAGAAACGGUAGAAGUUCCUCGUACCAUUGCGACGGGUCGAGGAAGGCGCACUCCCAAAGCACCGGAGAGGUACGGUUUUGAGGAUAUGGUUGCUUAUGCUCUUACCGUAGGCUCUGGCGAUCCAGGCUCCUACCAUGAAGCUUUGAAAAGUGAUCACAAAGAAAAGUGGAUGACCGCAAUGAUGGAGGAGAUGGAAUCGUUACAAAAGAAUGAGACAUGGGAACUUAUGAAGAAGCCCAAGGAUCAUAAUGUCAUUGGUUGCAAAUGGGUUCUUCGAAGAAAGGAAGCAACAACGGAGAAAGAGCAAGAGAGAUACAAGGCCCGACUUGUUGCUAAGGGCUAUGCACAGAAGGAGGGGAUUGAUUACGACGAGAUAUUUUCCCCUGUUGUAAAACACACAUCAAUUCGUGUUUUACUAGCUAUGGUAGCCAUGUAUGACUUGGAGCUUGAGCAGCUAGAUGUGAAGACGGCAUUCCUUCAUGGUGACUUGGAGGAGAAAAUCUAUAUGGAGCAGCCCGAAGGCUUCAAGGUGGAAGGGAAAGAGGAUCAUGUUUGUUUGCUCAAGAGAUCACUUUAUGGUUUGAAGCAAUCUCCGAGGCAAUGGAAUAAAAGGUUUGAUUCUUUUAUGCUUCGUAUUGGCUACAUGAGGAGUGUGCAUGAUUCUUGUGUCUACUACAAAGUUUUGGAUGAUAAGUCGUUUAUUUUGUUGAUGCUCUAUGUUGAUGACAUGUUGAUUGCUGCAAGAAAAAUGAGAGACAUUAAUUCCCUAAAGUCUCAGUUAAGUAGUGAGUUUGAUAUGAAGGAUCUUGGUGCUGCAAAGAGGGAUCCUUGGCAUAGAAAUCUUUCGAGAUAGACAUGCAAGUAAGCUUUGGGUGAAUCAAAAGAAGUAUGUUGAGAAGGUCUUGGAGCGGUUCAACAUGGGUAAAGCUAAACCGGUUAGUACACCCUUAGCAAAUCACUUCAAAUUAUCUGAGAAACAAUGCCCUGUUUCACAUGAGGAAGUUGUAAAGAUGUCUCGAGUACCCUAUGCCAGUGCAGUAGGGAGCCUCAUGUAUGCUAUGGUUUGUAGCAGACCGGAUUUGGCUCAUGCGGUGAGUCUCGUUAGCCGAUACAUGAGCAAUCCGGGUAAGGAGCAUUGGGAAGCUGUUAAGUGGAUCUUUUGUUAUUUGGCUAGAACUAUUGGAAUGGGUUUAAUGUUCAGUUCCAAGGGAGGAUCGAUCGAUUUAGCAGGUUAUGUUGAUUCAGACUUUGCUGGUGAUUUGGACAAGUGAAGGUCCAUCACGGGAUAUGUCUUUUACUCUUGGUGGUGGAGCUAUUUCGUGGAAGGCAAUGCUUCAAGCUACUGUAGCAUUGUCUACAACCGAAGCUGAGUAUAUGGCAGUAACUGAGGCUGCGAAGGAGGGAAUAUGGCUGACUGGUUUGGUCACAGAGUUGGGUAUAAAGCAAGAAAGUGCUACAUUAUAUUGUGAUAGCCAGAGUGCAAUAUGUCUCGCGAAUAAUCAAGUGUUCCAUUCUAGAACGAAACACAUUGAAGUUCGGUACCACAAAAUUCGAGAAUUUGUGGAGAAUGGUAGCAUUGCUUUGAAGAAAAUCCAUACUAAAGAUAAUCCCGCAAAUAUGCUCACGAAGACGGUUACUACAGAGAAGUUCAAGUCCUGCAGGGACUUGAUUUCUCUUACUCAUCAUUGAAGUUGAUGGAGGCCGCACUGAUCCAGGUGCGGGCGUACCUUUGCGAAGGUACAGUGGAGGGAGAGAUAUGUUUGUUUUCUUGGUUCAAGUGAAGGCUUGUGGUUUAUUCAAGCCAAAGGUGGAGAUUUGCUGAUAUUGUCUUGAAUUCCACAAAUUCAAUCGGGAAAUCUAGGAAGACUUGAAGAUUGCAAGCUAUUUGUUUCCUAAUAUAUUUCCUAGAUUUUGGUUUUAAAUUUGAUAGUAUCUUUAUGGUGGAAUUCCUUUCCUACUAGGUUUAGGAAAGUGGGGAUCUAAAGAUCUAUUUAUUUCAGCAAUGUACCUUGUACUCUUGACAUACGCUCAAAUAAGAAAUCGUCUCUCUCUCUCCCGUGGACGUAGGCGGAUCGUUCGCCGAACCACGUAAAUCUCCGUGUUCUUGAUUAUUCUUGUUUUUCUUUCUCAUCUAGUUAGGGUGUUCUUCCGCACAACACUCUGCGUCGCCUCGGCUCGGAUCAACUUGGGACAUCAGCUCCCUGAGCUGAGUCCGGGUCAUUCGCACCUUAACUCGGACACCGGGGCUCGGCUGCGCUCGAGGGUGCACCUGCGCUUUCUUCCCCAGCCAGUUCCCCAUCUCUCUCUCUGUGGGACUGACCGAGGAGGGCGUGUGGCGAGCACACGAGAUGGUUUUAUCUAUGUGUAUGGAGCUGUCGUCAGUGAGAACGCGGAUUGAAGAAGACCAAGAUUCUGAUCUUGAACGCGCGGAGGAAUCUGUAGAUCUCUUUGAACUCGACCACUGGCUGUUGGUUUUUUAUUAUAUUACAUGGCGGUGGUGGGGAGCUU